ensembl:lncRNA
CUCUCAUUGGCUAGAAAUGACUAGUUACAGGUGAAACGAAACUUAACUCCGACUAUAAGUUGCAGCACAUAGCUUCAGCUCUCACAGUCACAACAGGGGACAAUUAACAGACACGUGCAACUACACUAAAAAGAUGGAACGAGGAAGAGGAAGGACUCUGAGUAUUCUGUUCCUGUUGACACUCUGUCUACAAGCCUUCACUGGUCAAUGCCAAGGUACACACACCAGUGCGCACACACACAUGCACAUACACACACCAGGGCCGUGGACAUACACACACCAGGGCCGUGGACAGACCUUUCAGUGGGCAGGUGCUCAAAAUGGAAAAAGGGUGACAUUCUGAAAAGACCAAAAGUCUGUACAUGUUAACAUCUUUGAACAUAGACCUAUGUAUUUCUGCAACAACACACUCAGUUCAGUGCCUCCUAAAGACAUGAUAGACAUGGGGAAAAGAAGGGGGUUAUCAGCUGAUCAUUGAUGUUAAUGGCAGAUGUUCAUCUGCUAGUUAGUGUAUUUAUUUUACUGAUUGUGAUUUACCUUUGUCUUUUCUUACCCUCUCUGCUCCUAUCAGCCAAUCAGACUGAAGUAUUUUCUUACCCUCUGUCACGCCCUGGUCUAAGUAUUUUGUGUUUUUCUUCAUGUAUUGGGUCAGGCCAGGGUGUGGCAUGGGGUUUUUGUAUUGUGGUGUGUUUUGUCUUGGGGUUUUGGUGUGUAUGUAUUGGGAUUGUAGCUAGUGGGGUUAUCUAGCAAAAUCUAUGGCUGUCUGGAGUGGUUCUCAAUCAGAGGCAGGUGUUUAUCGUUGUCUCUGAUUGGGAACCAUAUUUAGGCAGCCAUAUUCUUUGAGUUUGUCGUGGCUGAUUGUCCUAUGUGUCGUUGUUCCUCGCUCUGUGUUAGUUUACACAAGUAUAGGCUGUUUCGGUUUUCUUUACGUUCUUUGUUUUGUAGUGUUUUGUGUUUAUUCGUGUUUCACGUUGUUCAUUUGACAUGGAUCGCAAUCUACAAGCUGCAUUUUGCUCCGACUAUCCUUCACACCUAGAAAACCGUAACAGAAUCACCCACCACCAACGGACCAAGCAGCGUGUCAACAGGCAGGAGCAGCCCAAAGAGGAGAUGCGCAAUAAGGAUUUCUGGACAUGGGAGGAAAUCCUAAACGGAGAAGGACCCUGGGCUCAGCCUGGAGAAUAUCGCCGCCCCAAAGAAGAACUGGAGGCGGUGAAAGCGGAGAGGCGCCGGUAUGAGGAGGCAGCACGGCGACUCGGAUGGAAGGCUGAGAGUCAGCCCCAAAAAUUUCUUGGGGGGGCUCAGGGAGAGUGUGGCAGAAUCAGGAGUCAGACCUGAGCCAACUCUCCCUGUUUAUCGUGAGGAGCCAAGGAGGAGACCAGAGCCGGUGUUGGAGGUGAGCGAAGCAGAGACUGUGAAGGAGUUAAUGGGGAAAUUGGAGGAGAGAGAAAUGAGGGAGUUGCUGUGUUGGUGCUUUUUGCAUGGAAUUCGCCCGACGGAACGUGUCGGGGAUUUGAUGGCACCUGGGUUAGCGCUCCAUACUCGUCCUGAGGUGCGUGUUAGUCGGCUGGUGAAGUUGGUGCCAGCCUCACGCACCAGGCCUCCUGUGCACAUCCCUAGCCUUGCACGUCCUGUGCCAGCACUGCUCUCAAGAUCUCCAGUAUGCCUUCACGGUCUAGACCAUCCUGUGCCACCUCCACACUCCAGCCCUCCGGUAGCAGCUCCCCGCACCAGGCUUCCUGUGCGUGUUCUCGAUUCAGUGCCACCAGUACCAGCACCACGCAUCAAGCCUACAGUGCGCCUCGCCUCUCCAGCGCUGCCAGAGCCUUUCUCCUCUCCUGCGCUGCUGGAGUCUCCCGCCUGUUCAGCGCUGCCGGAGCCU